rnacentral:rRNA from 1 species
CAUGGCUCGCUCACCAAAGAUGGCCUCUGUUUACAAGCUAUCGCUUCCGGAUGGUCUCGCGUCCGAUUAGCUAGUUGGUGGGGUAACGGCUCACCAAGGCGACGAUCGGUAGCUGGUCUGAGAGGAUGGUCAGCCACACUGGGACUGAGAUACGGCCCAGACUCCUACGGGAGGCAGCAGUCGAGAGGCUUCGGCAAUGGGGGAAACCCUGACCGAGCGACGCCGCGUGGGGGAUGAAGGCCCUUGGGUUGUAAACCCCUUUCAGUUGGGAAGAAAGAUGGCCGGGUGAACAGUCCGGUCAUUUGACGGUACCAACAGAAGAAGCUCCGGCUAACUCCGUGCCAGCAGCCGCGGUAACACGGGGGGAGCGAGCGUUGUUCGGAAUUACUGGGCGUAAAGGGCGUGUAGGCGGCACGGUCAGUGAGACGUGAAAGCCCCCGGCUUACCCGGGGAAUGGCAUCUCAUACUGCUGUGCUUGAGUGCGGGAGAGGAUGGGGGAAUUCCUGGUGUAGCGGUGAAAUGCGUAGAUAUCAGGAGGAACACCGGUGGCGAAGGCGCCCAUCUGGCCCGUUACUGACGCUGAGGCGCGAAAGCUAGGGGAGCGAACGGGAUUAGAUACCCCGGUAGUCCUAGCCGUAAACGGUGGGCACUAGGUGUUGGAGGCAUCGACCCUUCCAGUGCCGUAGCUAACGCAUUAAGUGCCCCGCCUGGAGGAGUACGACCGCCAGGGUUGAAACUCAAAA